GGCGCAUGUCCUGGAGGAAAUCUGAAACCGCCGUGACAUUACUUAUCACAUUUCUCUUUUCAGAAGGGAACUGCGUGACAGAGAUGGCUUCCUGUUUCUCCAGGUUGAGAAGUUCUGGUCCAACUGUCAACUGUUGAAGGACCUAACGAAGGACAUGGAGAUGGAGGUGACGAUUCCGAACAGUUUCACUUCACAGUACACAAAUAAAUACAUCACUCGCUAAUCCUACACAGGGUUGCGGGGAGCCUGUAGCCUAUCCCAGGGGACUUGGUGCACGAGGCAGGGGACACCCUGGAUGGGGUCCCAACCCAUUACAGGGCACAAUCACACACACAGUCACACACUACGGACAAUUUGGAAAUGCCAAUCAGCCUACAACGCAUGGCAGAGGCUCCAACUCCAGAGGUGCAAGGCAAACAUGCUAACCAAUAAGCCACCAUGCCCCGGUCUGUCUACCUGAUUAUUAUUAUUAUUAUUAUUAUUAUUAUUAU